UGAGGAAUAUUGGACAAUGGAGGCAACUCUGAUCCAGCCAUGCCGCGUGAAGGAAUAAGGCCCUAUGGGUUGUAAACUUCUUUUAGACGGGACAAAACCCCUUUACGUGUAAAGGGUUGAUGGUACUGUCAGAAUAAGCAUCGGCUAACUUCGUGCCAGCAGCCGCGGUAAUACGAAGGAUGCAAGCGUUAUCCGGAAUUAUUGGGUUUAAAGGGUGCGUAGGCGGACUAAUAAGUCAGUGGUGAAAUCUCCGAGCUUAACUUGGAAACUGCCGUUGAUACUAUAGGUCUUGAAUUAUCUGGAGGUAAGCGGAAUAUGUCAUGUAACGGUGAAAUGCUUAGAUAUGACAUAGAACACCAAUUGCGAAGGCAGCUUACUACAUAUAAAUUGACGCUGAGGCACGAAAGCGUGGGGAUCAAACA
rnacentral:rRNA from 1 species